UCGUCGUCACCUCCCAAUAAACCCUUGGUCGGACCUCAUCUCUAUAUCAUCGUCAAAUAAUAUCAUUUGUUUCAGAUUGGGGCUUAGGGCUUCAUUUUUUUCUUAGCACACAUAAAGAAAAGAAGGAGGCUCGGCGGGCUACUCCAUUUCAAACCUAGCUAGGCAACGUGGAGGUGCAGGUAUCCAUCUCUGUUGUUCUCCCUCAAUCUCUCACUCCUUCUAACCCUCACUCUCUGCUUGUUGCUGCUUGCAGGUACAGUGGCAUAGUGAAUAAUUGGGUCAAUGGUUGGCGUGGCUCUCAAGUUGUGGGUGCAAGAAAACUAUUUGAUAAAAUAUCUCAAAGACAUAUUGACUUGGAGAUAAAGUAAUAGUUGAGGAAGCAACAAGAUGAAGCUGAGAAAUGGUUUUGAGCUUUGAAUAUGUAAUUGGGAUAUGUAGCUGACACACCUUUGUGAAUAUAUGGAGUAAUUUGAAUAUGUAGUUGAAUAUAAUAUAUGAUAUGUAGCUGACACGGCUUUGUUAAUAUACAGAGUGAUUGCUACUAAUUUAAGAAGUGGUUUUCAGCUUUGAGGUAAAGUGUCUUCAGUCUGUAUUUUUUGUUUUACUGAUAUUACUAUACCUUUCUAAAUCUAAUUAAUAUUACAGAGAGAA